rnacentral:tRNA from 1 species
UUAAAGUCUUAAGUAAUUGGGAGUUUUGAGUAAUCUAGAAGAUUUAAUUAGUUUAGA